rnacentral:misc_RNA from 1 species
UCUAUCAAAAACACAAAACAAAGUGGUUUGCAUAUUAAUAUAUCCAUCAUUAAGGACUAUUAUAAAAGCAAAAAAUAGGAAAAAAUUACUUUUAAACGGGUAUACACGAUUUGAAAUAGUUUUAAAUCAACACCAACAUUGUCAGAAGUUAUUGUUGUAAAGGAAUAAAGAACUUGUAAAGUCGUUCGUUUACUGGCAACUGGGGGCUUGCAGAUUAAAGUCUACCAUAGUGAUUUGCUACUUGGAGCGAACAAAAAACCCAAUAGCGAUAAUAAAAAACGUAUAGAAGCAUUGUAGAGGGUUUUCGUAACAGACAUGACGCCCUUCGAUGAUUUCGCAUAUCUGAUCAAUCAUGUAUUGUUGGGUGAUGAACCGACAAUCGAGGAUUUCAUACUGCUGGUGGGCACGCUGGUGGCAUUUAUAGCGUUUAUACUCUGGUGUUGUUUUCCCAUACAACCUAAGGAUGGUACUAAUCAUCGACAAUUCUCUUGCAAAUCCCUGCAAAACUCACUUGAGUCUGCACAGGUGCAUAGCAGUUACAGCAAAUUGGCGUAUAAUGAAUACACAAUGAAAAGUGGCGGACAUGUCUAUCAUUGUUGUACUUAAUUAGGUAGUAACGAUGCGUUCUACGUGCGGGCGUUAUAAUUGAAGAAUUAAAAAUGUAAUACAUUUCAAUUUAUGCGGUAGUCGUAGCGAAGCGAAAAAUUAUAAAAAAAAACGCGCUAAAGUAUUUAGCAUAGUAAAACAAAAUGAAUUUCAUGGAAAGAGUGAGCCAACUACCCAAAAUGCAGUAUGAAUGUUUGUCGUCUCUUGUGUGUGCGGUUGGUGAAAGCAGUUUCAAGAUUUAUGUAUGUUGUUGCGGCGAAAAUUAUUUUUUG